rnacentral:tRNA from 1 species
GGAGAGGUGUCCGAGUCUGGUUGAAGGAGCUGGUCUCGAAAACCAGUGUAGGCGUAAGUCUACCGAGAGUUCGAAUCUCUCCCUCUCCG